CUGCGUUUGUCCAACGCUGUGCUGUCAUAUUUGAAACCAACCGAGCCGACAAGAAGAGAGCUCCGCGUAGAGAGUCGAGUAACAAACACGUUCGCUUGGUCAUUUGAAAUGAAAGUAUUUUAGCUUUAUUAACGUAAUCUUAAAUAAAAGCCAUUCACUGUAUUGAAGUAUUGUUGGAAUCAAGCUAUUAUUAUUUGUGCGAACCCUUAUCUCACUCGGACUAUCCUGUGACAUCUCAGAAGUUGGAUACAUUUUCCAAGAAAAGAGAAAAACAUGUAAAAUAUGCGCAGCCCCGUGAAGCAAUUGCAGACGGAAUGCAGGGAGCUGGAUAUUUCAACGUCUGGACAUAAGAACCAGCUAAUCGAGAGAAUUGAAAAUCAUGGAUUAUUAGGAUUCCACAAUGCAGGUGACAUGGUGAAACGAAAACGAGAUUUGGAGGAUCUUAUAACAAGCAUAAGGUACAAAUGGACGACUACAGAUCAGCCGAUUUUGAGUCAUCUUGUGCCUCAUCACCGCAACGACAAUUUGUGUCACCAGAACAACGACCACCAGUAAGUAAUUUGGUCAACGGCAUACGGCCAGCGGCAACGUUAACUUCAUUGGAAAUGUUGUAAUACCAAUGAUAGCUCAAGCGGAGGUGGAACUACCAAAUGUGUAAUACGAUUAUCCAGUUUGUGUUUCAAAUGGAAAUAUUGGGGUAGCAACGACAUCUCAUACGGAGAUGUUACCAUUGACAUCACAUGGAUGCCAACCGUAAUUCCCGACGAUAAACAACGUUACCACGAGUCAUCAAUAUAUGUCAGGUGUACCACGAGCAUAUCACCAAACAGGACAAACGAUUUAUGCAGCACCACGUUACGACAUGCGACAGGCGAAUGAAUAUGGAAAUAUUCCAACAACGAGUGUACCAAACGUUUCUGGAACAAAACCAAUGUCUUAUGUGCCAGAUUGUGUACCACCGACGCAAUGUACGGAACCACCAAUAUUUGCUGCAACGUCAAAUGAAUGUUUUUGUGUCAAACAAUCCUUAUGGACACGUCAAGUAUAUUAUAUCUCUGCUACCAGAUUCAUUCCAAUUUGUGAAAAUAAUCGAAUUUUUGAGAGCAGCAUACGGUUGGAUCGACUAAUAUUUGCCCUUCAACUGCUGCGUUAAUAUUUGCCCUUCAACUGCAAAUGCAGGGACCUGCGAAAUAUUGAUUUUGCUCAUGUCGAAAACGCAGCAGACAUUUACAUUAAGAUGUCUCAAACGACACGCCGUCCUAACGAAACUCCUCAGAAGUACUAUUUCAGAAUGUACACAAUGGGAAAAAAAUGCAAUUUUUCAGAUCCUGCUAUUGCAUGACACUUUGGAAUGGUAUAGACGACUCGGACUUGAAGAGGAAGAUAUCCAACGAUUAUUUAACGUGCAACCAGCUUUUGAGAGAUAUAAACGUUUCCUGCAAUUACAACGAUUCGAGAACAGCUAAAGGCAGUGCAAAUAAACAUAAAAAGGAAUUACCGCGAGAGCACAACUUCCAACGACACCUCCAAGAAAAACGGUGAACAAUCGGUAAGCAAGGUGAAGUGCUUUAAUUGUUCCAAAUACGGACACUAUUGCAACAAGUGUCCAGAGCCUCAAAGGAGAGAAAGAUGUGCAAAGUGUAAUCGAGUCAUCAAAGUAUAAGUAUAUCCUUAUUGAGACUUCUUCUUUGGACCAAAAAAAAAAACUUCUUUUCCUAUAA